GACGAACGCUGGCGGCGUGCCUAAUACAUGCAAGUAGAACGCACAGUUUAUACCGUAGCUUGCUACACCAUAAACUGUGAGUUGCGAACGGGUGAGUAACGCGUAGGUAACCUGCCUGGUAGCGGGGGAUAACUAUUGGAAACGAUAGCUAAUACCGCAUAAUAUUGAUUAUUGCAUGAUAAUUGAUUGAAAGAUGCUAUUGCAUCACUACCAGAUGGACCUGCGUUGUAUUAGCUAGUGGGUGAGGUAACGGCUCACCUAGGCGACGAUACAUAGCCGACCUGAGAGGGUGAUCGGCCACACUGGGACUGAGACACGGCCCAGACUCCUACGGGAGGCAGCAGUAGGGAAUCUUCGGCAAUGGACGAAAGUCUGACCGAGCAACGCCGCGUGAGUGAAGAAGGUUUUCGGAUCGUAAAGCUCUGUUGUAAGAGAAGAACGGGUGUGAGAGUGGAAAGUUCACACUGUGACGGUAUCUUACCAGAAAGGGACGGCUAACUACGUG
rnacentral:rRNA from 1 species